rnacentral:rRNA from 1 species
AUUGAACGCUGGCGGCAGGCCUAACACAUGCAAGUCGAACGGUAACAGGAAGAAGCUUGCUUCUUUGCUGACGAGUGGCGGACGGGUGAGUAAUGUCUGUGAAACUGCCUGAUGGAGGGGGAUAACUACUGGAAACGGUAGCUAAUACCGCAUAACGUCGCAAGACCAAAGAGGGGGACCUUCUGGCCUCUUGCCAUCUGAUGUGCCCAGAUGGGAUUAGCUAGUAGGUGGGGUAACGGCUCACCUAGGCGACGAUCCCUAGCUGGUCUGAGAGGAUGACCAGCCACACUGGAACUGAGACACGGUCCAGACUCCUACGGGAGGCAGCAGUGGGGAAUAUUGCACAAUGGGCGCAAGCCUGAUGCAGCCAUGCCGCGUGUAUGAAGAAGGCCUUCGGGUUGUAAAGUACUUUCAGCGGGGAGGAAGGGAGUAAAGUUAAUACCUUUGCUCAUUGACGUUACCCGAAGAAGAAGCACCGGCUAACUCCGUG